AUUGAACGCUGGCGGCAGGCCUAACACAUGCAAGUCGAACGGAGCGGCGGACGGGUGAGUAAUGCCUAGGAAUCUGCCUGGUAGUGGGGGAUAACGUCCGGAAACGGGCGCUAAUACCGCAUACUAUCAGAUGAGCCUAGGUCGGAUUAGCUAGUUGGUGGGGUAAAGGCCUACCAAGGCGACGAUCCGUAACUGGUCUGAGAGGAUGAUCAGUAACACGGGAACUGAGACACGGUCCAGAUGCCGACGGUAGGCAGCAGGGGGGAAUAGUGGACAAUGGGCGAAAGCCGGAUGCAGCCAUGCCGCGUGUAUGAAGAAGGCCUUCGGGUUGUAAAGUACUUUCAGCGGGGAGGCGUUACCCGCAGAAGAAGCACCGGCUAACUCCGUGCCAGCAGCCGCGGUAAUAC
rnacentral:rRNA from 1 species